rnacentral:rRNA from 1 species
AAGUCGAACGCGAAAGCCUGACUUCGGUUGGGCAAGUAGAGUGGCGAACGGGUGAGUAACACGUGGAUAACCUGCCCUGCGGUGGGGAAUAACCCCGGGAAACUGGGGCUAAUACCGCAUACGAUCCAUCGGGCGCAAGUCGGAUGGAUGAAAGCCUUCGGGCGCAGCAGGAGGGGUCCGCGGCCGAUUAGCUAGUUGGCGGGGUAAAAGCCCACCAAGGCACAGAUCGGUAGCCGGCCUGAGAGGGCGCACGGCCACACUGGCACUGAGACACGGGCCAGACUCCUACGGGAGGCAGCAGUGGGGAAUCUUGGACAAUGGGCGCAAGCCUGAUCCAGCGACGCCGCGUGACUGAUGAAGCCCCUCGGGGUGUAAAAGUCUUUCAGCAGGGACAAUGAUGAUGGUACCUGCAGAAGCAGCUGCGGCUAACUACGUGCCA